GACGAACGCUGGCGGCGUGCUUAACACAUGCAAGUCGAACGGAGUGGCGAACGGGUGAGUAACAAGUGGGUGACCUGCCCUGCACUUCGGGAUAAGCCUGGGAAACUGGGUCUAAUACCGGAUAGUGUGGGAUGGGCCCGCGGCCUAUCAGCUUGUUGGUGGGGUAAUGGCCUACCAAGGCGGCGACGGGUCGCCGGCAUGGGAGGGUGGACGGCCACAGUGGCACAUGGACAGCGCCCAGACUGCUACGGGAGGCAGCAGUGGGGAAUAGUGCGCGAUGGGCGGAAGCCGGAUGCAGCGCCGCCGGGUUGGAGAGGACGGCCUUCGGGUUGGAAACGCCUGUCACCAUCGACGCGGUAGAUGGAGAAGAAGCCCCGGCUAACUACGUGCCAGCAGCCGCGGUAAUAC
rnacentral:rRNA from 1 species